AGUCACGGGCGUCUCAGCCGUCUCACACCCCUCGGGUGCUUUUCCAGCCCCCAAAGAAUGAAGCAGAGCGCGCUCCCCGCACCGUAUUCCCUCUUAGAAUCAGCCGCCGUGUGAGGGACGCCACAGUGGGUGGAGAACAUCAUGCAUCGCUGAUUCCUCUGGAGAAGCUGGGGUGAGAAUGUGUGUGUUUUGCAAAUGCGAACUUGCCCUUCACAGGAUGUCGCUGUGCUUUCAGAGCCCACUAGGUGGUGCGUGAGCUGCGGCGAUGGUGACCGGCUGCGCUGGACCAGUCACCGCCCGCCUCCCAGGACCCCCCUCAGGCCAGAGGCCCCCAGCUCACAAGCCGGCCCUGAAUCAUCCCCGUUCCUGGGCCCGUCUCCACGUUCUUUCUCUGGGAAAGCAGGGCCCAGGCUUCUGCUCCCUCUUCAAUACAGCACACAAAAAAGAUAAAAAUUGGUCCGAAGACACCAAUGGACCUUUUAGUGGACGGGGCACACAAAUGGCCAGUGACGACCGAAGACCUGUUCCAUCUCACUGGUGAGAAGAUUGCCAGCCUUAAGGAAGCUGGUGUCCUACAGGGGAGCGAGGACUUGAGCCGCGAACUUGUUCUCGUUGCUGGUCGGAACAUCAUCUGGGACAGUGACUUUCGAAGAAGAGAGUCGUGUUUUCGAGUAAGUUCAACCUCUGCAGCUGUGGCGAUCGGAAGCCAUCCUAUCCUGGGUGUGUAGUCAGGAGAACUGCUUUGACAGGUGCGCCAGGAGACCUGCAGUAACGGUUACAGCAGCAGCACGAUGCAUAAGGUGGAAACACCAGAGGCAAUCCGAAUUCCCACUGACGAAAGGAUAGACUGCAGGUUGACCUCGAGCAAGAAAAUUCAUACUUCGCGGGCUGGUCUCGUGCGUGAGGGUCGCCCCGCAGUGUCACGUGUGGGCUCAGCUGGCCGCGGAGCCUGAGCCGAGCCCCUCACGUAAGAGCUGAGAACGUGAGCCGGCUCGCACACGGUCGGCAGCCUCUCCCUGGCUCUUUUACAGACUUUGUGUAAAAAGUUCUCUCACCAAGGCACCGCCUCUGAAAGGCACUUGAGACCCCAGUUGGUGGAGAAAGCGCGUUUCCUGGGUUCAGUACGCCAGAGGACUUGGCACUCCUGGCUGGCCGUCCUGUUGUGUUGCUGGCGAGCUCAGAAGUGCUUCUUACUUGAAUCCAAUUACCAAGGAACUCAACUGACUUGUUAAAAGCAAGUCGUCUCAAAGGAAAGGUGGCACAGAAACACGGAACACAGACUAAAUGGUUCGCGUGAUGAUAUUUUUUGGCUCAACGAUGAAUGAAUUCUAUUUCUCACUGAGGCGCAUCUCAAGGAUUAGCAAAGGAGGCGGAAUCAUAUAUUAAUGGUCAGGAGCUCACAAGCACUGUAGUUAAUAGCCAAAAUGAUCCAGAACCUUCCAGGGAA
rnacentral:lncRNA from 1 species